rnacentral:rRNA from 1 species
CCUGCUCAAUGUAAUUCUAAAUAGCCGCUAUAAGUGCUAAGGUAGCAUAAUAAAUUGCUCUAUAAUUAAGAGAUAGAAUGAAAGGUAACACGAUUUAUUAAUUAUAUCAAGAAACCCCUUGAAACUAGCUCAUACCGUUAAAACCCGCCUCUAUAAAAGAAGGACGACAAGACCCCAUCGAACUUAACUAAACAGUUUCACUGGGAAGGUUAAAAACUACAUCUUUAUUAAACCUAUUAUGCACGCUCUCAAUUGAACUAAAUAAAGUUACCGUGGGGAUAACAGCAUAAUUUUUGCCCCCAGCUCCUAUCCCACCAACUGAUUAUGACCUCGAUGUUGAAUUAAUUAACCUCCUGGUAGAAAUAUACUAGAAAGGAAGUCUGUUCGACUUUAUAUUAAUUACAU